UACGUAGGAGGCGAGCGUUAUCCGGAUUUACUGGGCGUAAAGAGGGCGUAGGUGGCUCUUCAAGUCGGAUGUAAAAUCUCCCGGCUCAACUGGGAGGGAUCAUUCGAUACUGUUAGGCUAGAGGACAGCAGAGGGAGGUGGAAUUCCCGGUGGAGUGGUGAAAUGCGUAGAUAUCGGGAGGAACACCAGUGGCGAAAGCGGCCUCCUGGGCUGUUUCUGACACUGAGGCCCGAAAGCGUGGGGAGCGAACAGGAUUAGAUACCCCUGUA
rnacentral:rRNA from 1 species